GGGCCCGCACAAGCGGAGGAACAUGUGGUUUAAUUCGAUGAUACGCGAGGAACCUUACCCGGGCUCGAACGGCUAUAGAAUAAGUAUGAAAGUAUUUAGCCAGCAAUGGCUGUAGUCGAGGUGCUGCAUGGUUGUCGUCAGCUCGUGCCGUGAGGUGUCGGCUUAAGUGCCAUAACGAGCGCAACCCUUGUUGUCUGUUGCCAGCGGGUAAUGCCGGGGACUCAGACAAGACUGCCUGCGUAAGCAGUGAGGAAGGGGGGAUGACGUCAAAUCAGCACGGCCCUUACGUCCGGGGCGACACACGUGUUACAAUGGGCAGUACAGAGGGUCGCUACCUGGCAACAGGAUGCUAAUCCCUAAAGUUGCUCCCAGUUCGGAUCGGAGUCUGCAACUCGACUCCGUGAAGUUGGAUUCGCUAGUAAUCGCGCAUCAGCCACGGCG
rnacentral:rRNA from 1 species